rnacentral:tRNA from 1 species
GGGAAAGUAGCUCAGUGGCAGAGUUCUUGCCUUGCAUGCAUGAGGCCCUGGGUUCAAUUCCUCAGCACCA